CUGAGUUCAGCAGCUAAUAUUUUAUAGAUCUUCUUUAAAUAUGCAUGCAGUGUCUGCUGUUGUAAAAGAGCUCUCCCACUCAUUUCAGCUGAUUUCACAUCUGGACUGAUGUUGUCAUCCGAGUCCAUUGUCACCCAGAAGAACUCACCCACCAGCACCUGAGUCCCCAACACAUUGUCAUCUGUCUUCAAAUGUUUAUGUUCGAGUCAGCAUAUGUCUUUAAGUAUUUAGUUGAUUUGUGUUUUUUGGGGAAUAUGGAAAUUGUGGAAUUGAAAAUAAUAGCUUCCCCCUUUGCCCCGUCUCCCCCCAGCUCCCUGAUGUCUUUCAGCCCCUCCCCCGCCGAAACAAGAUGCCACUACACUGUCAUUAAGAGGGAAGAUUGCUUUGCGCAGCUGUUUACUUUUUAGUUCGUUUUUGUUUUUUGGAAAAGGAAUGAGAACAAUAGUUUCAAAACACAGCAGGGAUCUUAUUCAUGAAUUCACUGCCCAAGCAGAAAAAUAAAAACAAGAUCCAACAAAAAAACAAGAUCCUGGCAGUGAACUCUGCCAAGUAAUGAAGGAAGACGUGUACAGUUUGUGGCAGGUCUGGUUCUCGGUAUAAAUUAAAGUGUGUGCAAGCAGAUAAAAUCAACAAGGUUCAGUGCACAUAGCUUAAUAACUUUUAACAAUGCAAAAGUUGUAUUUCUUUAUUUCAAACACAAAUUUAUUGAUAGCCCCAAUGCCCACAGGAGUCUUCCCUUCCUCAUCCAUCUCUUCCUCUACAGCAAAUCAGUCCCUUCGGCUUUUCCCCGAUGGCACCUUCCAUGUUCUACCCAUACGGUCUGCUGCCCUUGGGGCAACCAAGGCCCCCGCCUCAGGCAAGUGGGUGCCACCGAGUCCCAGGGGUGCCCCCUGACCCCUCCCACAUGUUCGGGGAUGGGCUACAGCAUCACUUUCCAUCUCUUUACAGUUCCUCCAGGGUUCUCUGCAGAUGCUUUCUUCAGGGGACUCAUGUAGACGGACGCCAGGGGACAAGCAGACGCCAUGCGACCAUGCGACCUGUGUAUUGUUUCUUUGUUCCGGCUGGAAGUUUGCUUUCGACUUGGGAGAUGUUGGAAUGGGCAGACAGUGCGCUUUUUGUUUUUCCUUGAUAAAUGUAUAAUGUUAAAGCAGUUUAAAAAGAAAUAAACCUCAUAGAUUGUUGUAAUAAAUCUUUCUCUUUUUUUUUCCCAGAAU
rnacentral:lncRNA from 1 species